rfam:Ovis aries breed Texel chromosome 16, whole genome shotgun sequence.
UCCCUGGUGGCUUAGACUGUAAAGAAUCUGCCUUCAAUGCAGGAGACCUGGGUUCGAUCCCUGGAUUGGGAA